rnacentral:lncRNA from 1 species
UGUUUUUUACAGCUUCAUUUGCUUCUGUAAUAAAUUACUGCAGAGCGGUUGAAAGCAAUAUCUCACCCAAAAUCUUCACCUUUGUCUCAAUGUAACAAAUUCCGUUUAAGCAUUGUUGACUAUGUACAGUGUUAAUGUUUAUAUUACGGGUUGAUCUUUAACGAGGUAGCCGCAUUUUGUUCUUUCUCGUGCAUCUUUUUAAAAGGAUAAAGAGUUGUUGUUAUUGUUGGUGUUGAUGAUGAUGUUGCUUUGUGUAAAGCGUGAUUAGCACUUGGCUUUAGUAAACUGCAUGUAAACGUUUUAGACAUUGUGUUGUGAAUACUUUCUUGAAUAUAGUUUUUUUUUCAAUUACACAAAUAUCAUAUCUUUGUAAAUAGUGAUUCUUAUACGAAAUUAUUAAUACAAUUUAUAUGAAUAUUUUAGUUACUUUUUAUUUGUGCUUUGUCAGAGCAAUUCAAUAAUCUAUUGUGUUUAUUUUGUUAAUAAAGCAUUUUCUGAACAAA